rnacentral:lncRNA from 1 species
UAUCCCUAUCUACCUCUGUAUGUCUACUAUUUGUUUAGGUAGUAUUAUCUGUAGGUUUGACCUCCUUUACUCCUCAAUUAUAAUCAUUUUGCUUUUACUCCUGGAUUUCGGACUGUUAGUUAUACGGUGCAUGUGGGCAAUAUCGUAUGCCUUAUAGUUUGUCAUCCAUUUAUUGCUUCUACGUGUACGUAUAUAGCCAUCGAUUUGCUGCUUCUACGUAU